GUGCCAGCCGCCGCGGUAAUACGGAGGAUGCGAGCGUUAUCCGGAUUUAUUGGGUUUAAAGGGUGCGUAGGCGGAUUAAUAAGUCAGUGGUGAAAACCUGCAGCUUAACUGUAGAACUGCCAUUGAUACUGUUAGUCUUGAGUACGGUCAAGGUAGGCGGAAUGUGUAAUGUAGCGGUGAAAUGCUUAGAUAUUACACAGAACACCGAUUGCGAAGGCAGCUUACUGGGCCAUUACUGACGCUGAGGCACGAAAGCGUGGGGAGCGAACAGGAUUAGAUACCCUAGUAGUCC
rnacentral:rRNA from 1 species